AGCACUGAGCCAGGAGACACAGGAUAAAAAAGAUGUCUAAUGCAAGCAGAUGCCUGCCCGCAGAGGGAUUCCCAACUGUUAAGAAGGGGAGACGCCUGCCCUGGGCACAAGCCCAUUGCGAGGGAGGCUGACCUGACUGCCACGGUGCCUCCAUGGGGACGUCGGCCUGAGAAGGCUGUCCAGAGGGGAAAAAGGAGAAGCACUUAGAAGACAUCUCCUCAAAGAGGCA